GGUUAAGCGACUAAGCGUACACGGUGGAUGCCCUGGCAGUCAGAGGCGAUGAAGGACGUGCUAAUCUGCGAAAAGCGUCGGUAAGGUGAUAUGAACCGUUACAGCCGGCGAUGUCCGAAUGGGGAAACCCAGUGUGAUUCGUCACACUAUCGUUAACUGAAUACAUAGGUUAACGAGGCGAACCGGGGGAACUGAAACAUCUAAGUACCCCGAGGAAAAGAAAUCAACCGAGAUUCCCCCAGUAGCGGCGAGCGA
rnacentral:rRNA from 2 species